ensembl:lncRNA
CUUAUAAUCCUCCAAGACAGAUUCUGGAUGAGUUAAAGAUCAAAUUAUAUCAAACUAACUUGAAGACAAAUACAAGUCCUCUAAAAUAUUUAGAGAAAAGGAAAUAUCAUGGGAUAGAUAUAUGAUGUUAGAGUAGUGGGGAGUUACAAAACUGACUAUUUUUAUGCAUCGUGGUGCAGUGACACAUGUCUCAAAAUGCUUCUCUGGGUUUUGAUAUCAAGGUUCUAUAUCAGCCUCACAAACUGAUUUGGGUGUCUCCCCUUUCUUUCAAUUAUCUAGAAUAAAUUGGAUUAGAUUGGGAUUUCUUUAUCCUUGAAUCUAUAAGGAUAGCCAAGAAGCCAUUUGUAAUUCAGACUCCUUUUCCAUUUGCCCCUUAUAUUUUUUGUAGAGAGUUGGAGAAAUAGGAAGAUUUUAUAAUGUUACUGCAGGAAUGAUUGGUAUAAGCUGAAUUCUCUUUUCACCUGUUUUAGUGGAGAUGUCUCUCACUUGCUACCUCUUCGGCCCCACUCUGUGAAUCUCAGUCUAGCAACGGCGCUGCCAUUAUGGAGCUCAAAACAAGAUCUGGAAGCACUGAGAGAAAUCUCAAAAUAAUUCCACCACAGGACAGUGGUUUCCUGAACACGAACGAUAUCAAGGCACUACCCACUCAAGCUGAGGGUCUGUUUCUUGCAUGACCUCUGAAUUACUCCAAAUAUAAUCUGGCCAGCACUAACACAGUUAGGGAAGCAGAGAACGAUAGUGGCUGAGUAAGAUGCUCCAGUGGUUGUCUCUUCAGAGAACCAAUUUGAAUCAUUAUUGAAGCACCAAGUCUCACCUUCACAAGAACAAUGAAGGCCAGGUAAGAGGCCACAGUGCCUGGUUUUAGUAUAACAAUAAGAAAAGAUGUGUUGAUGUAAGCAGAAAAGAGUUGCCUGCAUCACCUCUCUGGAGCUCCAAGUAGCACAGCAUAGAGAGUGAUGCCUGGCCUCCACCUUGGAGAGGAAAAGGGAAUUAAGUCCAGACCUUACACUUGAAACCCAGUACCAGGCUCACCAUGAUGCAAACCAGUGCCAAACAGGGCCCCAGGUCUGUACCUGUAGACUGAGUCUUUGGAUCUUCCCUAGCCAGGUAAGUAAGGGACUGACCCUACCACCUGUCUCAACCUCUGGUAGACCGCAGAGAAAGAAUCUAGUCACUGGAGAACAGGACAGUAAGAGAACUUAGGACCUUACCAUGGAACUCAGAGCCAGGCCCACGACUGUAAGAUCCCACAUGUGAAAAAGUACAAAGCCCUCUACCCUUGCCCGGUGCUCACAGACAGAGUUGUAUGUGUAUCACUGCUUAUCUUGUUGGGAAGGCCCCGAAAUAUCAGAAGGUAGAAAAUUAAUUGGCAAGAAUCACUGUAUAGUCAUAUUCAGAAUGCUCUGAUACUAUAAGCCAGCGCCUGUGGGUGGAGCCUGCAGACUUGGCUAGGAUUUUGAGAUCUGAACUCUGGUUGACAAACUCGUUUUUAGUGUGCCUCAUCAGCAGCCUCCUGUGCACCCCUUAGAUGGCACAGGACCUGGUGAGUGUGAAACCUAGGUGUGACCUAGCUGAGUUCUAGUCUGGGUGGCCAAGAAGCUGCUUUUAUCACCCUUUUUGCACAGGAUUGGGUAUUGGGACUUGGGGC